GAUGAACGCUAGCGGCAGGCCUAAUACAUGCAAGUCGAGGGGCAGCGCGGUAGCAAUACUGGCGGCGACCGGCGCACGGGUGCGUAACACGUAUGCAACCUACCUUCAACUGGAGGAUAGCCCGGGGAAACUCGGAUUAAUACUCCAUAACACAGGGAUCCCGCAUGGGAAUAUUGUUAAAGCUACGGCGGUUGAAGAUGGGCAUGCGUUCGAUUAGCUAGUUGGUGUAGGUAACGGCUCACCAAGGCUACGAUCGAUAGGGGGUCUGAGAGGAUGAUCCCCCACACUGGUACUGAGAUACGGACCAGACUCCUACGGGAGCAGCAGUAGGGAAUAUUGGUCAAUGGGGGCAACCUGAUCCAGCCAUGCCGCGUGAGUGAAG
rnacentral:rRNA from 1 species